GAUGAACGCUGGCGGCGUGCUUAACACAUGCAAGUCGAACGGAAAGGCCCAAGCUUGCUUGGGUACUCGAGUGGCGAACGGGUGAGUAACACGUGGGUGAUCUGCCCUGCACUUCGGGAUAAGCCUGGGAAACUGGGUCUAAUACCGGAUAGGACGAUGGUUUGGAUGCCAUUGUGGAAAGUUUUUUCGGUGUGGGAUGAGCUCGCGGCCUAUCAGCUUGUUGGUGGGGUAAUGGCCUACCAAGGCGUCGACGGGUAGCCGGCCUGAGAGGGUGUACGGCCACAUUGGGACUGAGAUACGACCCAGACUCCUACGGGAGGCAGCAGUGGGGAAUAUUGCACAAUGGGCGCAAGCCUGAUGCAGCGACGCCGCGUGGGGGAUGACGGCCUUCGGGUUGUAAACUCCUUUCGCUAGGGACGAAGCGUUUUUGUGACGGUACCUGGAGAAGAAGCACCGGCUAACUACGUG
rnacentral:rRNA from 1 species